GGAGAAUGCCCUAUGAAGAUGAGGGCAGCAAUUGGGAUGAUACAGCAGAAGCCAAGGAAUGCCAAAGACUCAGAUCAAGACCCCAGAAACUAAGAAAGCAGGAUGGAAGACUCUCCUUCACAACCAAGAGAAGGAAGUAACCCUGACAUCACCUUGAUCUCAGAUUUCUAGGCUCCUACAACUGAGUUUGAACUGCACAGAUCCACUUAUAUGUGGAUUUUCUUCCACCUCUACCACCUCUGAGACAGCAAGAACAACCCGUCUUCUGCCUCCUCCUCCUCAGCCUGCUCAACAUGAAGACAAUGAGGAUGAAGAACUUUAUGAUGAUCCACUUCCACUUAAUGAAAAGUAAA
rnacentral:lncRNA from 1 species